AAAAUCUUUCUUCUCACUUUGGACCAAUGGUUCCUGUUGGGAAUUGGUUCUAAUGCUUUGUCUUAUUUCCGCUUCCAAAAGCCACCCUUCCAAACCCGAGGGUCCCUGGCCCCAGCUGACUUCCAUUGGUAAUAAAGAAUUUCUGUAUAUCCAAUGUCUGGGGAGGGAGAUGGAGCGGGACAAAGGACUGAUGGCAUGUAAGAAUCCAGAAAAGUGGCCCUAGGGGCCACUCCCCCACUUGUGUCUGGGUAGCAGACAUGAAAAAUAGAUUUUAAAAGAUAUUAACUCAGGAAUACCAGAGGGGAGUGUUUGCUAGCCAGGGAGGUUUAGAAGUGCGCAGCCAUUGAACUAGUCAAGGCAUCUCAAAAUUAGUAUGUGUGUCUGUCCUUCAUUCAUGAAUCCAGAGCGCUUGGGCAGGUGCAGCAUGCGCAGCCCACCAGAAGCCAAAUUGGAUUAACCAAUUGGCUACAGGUCCCUUUCUACUUUUCUGGAUUUCUAGUUUUCUACAGGUAUUCCAAAUUAAAUACACAAAUCUAAAUAUUUAAUACUAAAAUCCACAUAUGAGUUAGGAUAUAUCGCAGUUAGUUGUCUUUCUGAGACUUGAUUACCUCACACAGAAUAAAGUUUUCCAGUCCCAUCCUGAAAUUUUCUCCUUUCUUUGUAGCCGAAUACAAUUCCAUUAUUCAUUGGUACUGCAUUUUUGUUAUUCGUUCAUCUGCUGGUGGACAUCUUGCCUGAUUCCAUGUCCUAACUAUUGUGAACAGAGGAUCUAUGAACAUGAUGAGCAUGUGUCUUAUUUAUUUGGUGUCUACUGCUAUGGUAAAUACCAUGACCAUAAACAACUUGGGGAAGAAAAGGUUUAAUUGGCUUACACCUCUAUCACAGUCCAUCAUCUAGGGAUGCCAAGGAAGGAACUCAAGACCGGAACCUGGAGGCAGGAACUGAACAGAGGCCAUAAAAGCAUGGUGCUUAAGGAGUAGCUCCUCGUGACUUGCUCAUUUUUUUUUUUUUUAAAUGCAAGGUGACCCUACCCACUAUUGGCUGGGCACUCUCAUAAUGAAAUGCCCAACAGGCGAAUCUUUCCCCAGUUGAUGUUCAUUUUUUCCAGAUGACUCCAGCUUUUGUCAAGUUGCCAAAAACAUAACUAACCCAGCUUAUGUCUCUGUAGUAAGAAACAGAGUCCUUUGGAUAAGCACACAGGGUCACAGGGUAGAUUUAGUUCUACAUUUCUGAGGAACUGUCAUCAUACCGGUUCCCACAGUGAGACACCAACCUGCACACCAGCCAGCAGCGUGUGAGGAUUGUCUGUUCUCCACAGCCUCCCCAGCUUUGCUGUCUUUUGUUUUCUUAGUCUUAGCUAUUCUGAUUGGGGUAAAAUAAAAUCUCCAAUUAGUUUAUUUGCGUUUUACUGACAGUGUUUGAAUUCCUUGUAUAUUCUAGACUCUGAUCUCCCUUGGUUAGAUCUAUAGCUGCUCUCAUGAUUUAGCCAUCUCUACUUCUAUGUUUCCUUCCUUUGAAGACAUGCUUUAUAAAAAUCUGUAUUUCAGGAUCUCUGAAACUAAGAUGCAUACAUAAUUCAGUGACUGUCAGACUCCACUGGCAGCAGUUUUACUUUUUCUUUUUUUUUUCUUUUAGUGUUGCAAAAAUUAUCUUAUCAGUGCCCACAUUUUCAUAAAGUUUUGUUCUUCUAAAGACAGACAAUGGAAGUCAUUUAUUGUGUCAGUGGCCUCAAGUGUUUUACGAAGUGUGCAUUCCUGCACAUUCUGAGCUUGUCUCUUUUCUGAGGUUUUCUUUGCUAGCCUAUCAUCUAACUUAUCUAUUCAUUCAUCCAUCAUAUCACUCAUUCAUUCAUUUUCAAUUACUAGUGGGAGAUAAUGUUCUAACUAUAAUAUAUAGUUAUGUAAUAUAUAUUAAUAUAAACUAGAUAACUAGUAUAUUACAUAUUAUAAAGUAAAAUAUGAGUGAUUUUGAAAUAUGUACCCCCUUUCCUAAAAUUUUAUGUACAUGAUUUUAUACCUGGUUUGGCCAAGACACCUUUUGGUAGCCAUGUUUGGGAAAUGAGAAACUGAGAGAUGAGGACUGAAUCCAGGGCUUUUAUAACUAGCAUGAAAAGAAUUGCCUCUCCGGCUGGUGAGAUGGCUCAAAGGGCAAGAGCACUCACUGCUCUUCCAAAGGUCCUGAGUUCAAAUCCCAGCAACCACAUGGUGGUUCCCAACCACCCAUAAUGAGAUCUGAUGCCCUCUUCUGGUGUGUCAGAAGACAGCUACAGUGUACAUUUUAUAAUAAUAAAUAAAUCUUUGGGCCAGAGCGAGCAGGGACUGAGUGAGCAGGGUUGACCUGAGUGAAUGGGGCUGACCGGAGCGAGCAGAGGUCCUAAAUACAAUUCCCGACAACCACAUGAAGGCUCACAACCAACCAUCUGUACAGCUACAAUGUACUCAUAUACAUAAAAAUCAUAUACAUAGAUAUGAGUCUGGGGUUCUGUUAAGUUAAUUAGGGUAAAAAAUUAAAUAAAUAAAUCUG
rnacentral:lncRNA from 1 species